ensembl:lncRNA
AUGAUUAAAAAAAAAAAUCCCAGGCUAUAUCCUGAGACGAGCAGUGGAGGUUUUGGUAGCCAGGCAGGGAGAAUCAGGAGCAUCGGCCUUUGGGAAGGUAGCAGCAGCACUGAGAGCUACAGAACAGGAUCUGCACUGGAACUAGUUCUCCUAUCAACAAAACUUCUGUUGGCUUUAAGAAGAGCAGGAGUGGAUGGAAGAAUCUGUAAAAAUCUGAUUUCAGGAACUUUCAUCUGAAUGUUCUCACAAGAUAACAUCUUAAUUAGUCACAGUCCUUGUUAUAGUUUCUUCUUUGCUGGACUUUGUUGGUUAAACACCUGAGCUUCCCAGACCAGGGUUAUAGCAAAGCCCAUUGGAAGGGGAGAUUUUUCACUGUAGGAGGGCAAGCAGAAAGGUAAAAGGGAAGGAUUGUUUUCAUCUCCUUGUCUCUCCCCUCACUUAGAGUAGCUCUAAAUAAUACAGCCUAAAUCAUCUCCAUCUUGAUGUCUAUGGACACUUUCCACCUUUGACUGUAGAACGGAGAAAGUGCAAUUGAGGCAGGAUGUUAGCCCAGGAAACGAAGCAGCCAUUACCUCUCCAGAACAUUUUGACUGUGUCUUAUUUUCAAGUUUUUGUAUUAUGUGAAAAGACAGCAAAUCAGGCACAACACAAGGCAAAUUGUCUCUGAAACUAUCAAAAUCAUCACUUUUGGACAGUUUUGUGUUCAGCUAUUACAAGUAUGAUUUUCUAAAUCUUUUCCUGUCCUUUUUGAUGUUGCUGCUUGCUCACUGAGACACAUCAAAAGGCUUGCCAAGUUCCUUUUUUCUCCUGCUCAAAAGGCUCCCGACACACAAAGGUCAAACACUUUUUCUGAUGCUUCUGAGCUUGUGCAUUGUGAACCAGCUGAUGCCUGCGAGUGUUCUUUUCACAGCCCCAGGAGGACAGGCAAGGCAGCACCCAGAGCACAGUGAGCUCAGGUUGGGACAACUUUGCUUUGCAAAUCAUCUCAACAGGGAUGACUCAACCCUAAGGCAGGCACGUGCUUAAAUGGAGGGGGACUAUCAUGAAAUUUCCAUCCUUCCCAGGCUGGAAACUGCAGGCAGACAGAGUAGAUGUCAGACGAUCAAAGACAGUGGAGAUGUCAAGUGUCCAGGCUGUUAAGGUUAUAAACAAGGUAUUUUAGGAACAGAAGAGGGUGAAGGGCCCAUCUUCUGGCUGGUCCUCAUUCUCCCCAGAAUUGGGAUGCCAUAUGGGGGAUAAAGCAGGAGUCUUUGCCUCAGUGCACUGCUUCUCAUGUGGGAGCAGAGGGCAAGGCUGGGGCUGCCCAUUGGGCAGGAAACCAGGCCUUGAACAAUGGGCUGAAGCUUGGGGGCACAGCACCUGUGUCAUUCAUGGCCCAUCACAGCGUACCUGGCCUUGGUGAAGGCAUCAUGUACAACAAUGUGGGGAAAGACUAUUGCGAUACACAGAGUUAAGCUGAGGCUGUUCAGCACUUACUUGAGUUUUUUAGGUUAUGUCACUUUGCAGUGUCUAACAAGCUUCAUCUCAUCUUCUUGGAUGUGGAACUUUUGUCCCCCAUGUCGUGGUUUGACGCUGGUUAGGUGCCAAACACCACGAAAAGUGGUGACUUUGUUUAAGUCAUUGCUUUGUUCCUAGUGGUGGCUGUAGGGUGUUGUCUCUCAAGAGCUGUAAAUGCAGUGUCUUCCUUUAAGUUACCAUUCCUUUUUGAUGAGUUGUUUUUGGUGAACAAGGUGAAUCGUUGGUGCUCAUUGUUGUGCUGCUCUUCGCUGGAGUAUUGAGUGCAGACUAACACAGGCAUCAACUCAGGACCCAGGAAGGACAUUCUCCUCAAUGGAGGGCAAAGGGAACAGCCCAGCCACGCUUCUCUCCCCCAAACAUGGGCACCACCACUUGCCAAGGUGAGGACAGGGAUGGGCAGAGGGGACCUGUGUGUCUCUUGCGAUGAGUCUGCAAAGGAAUCUACAUUUUCUUUGUCUUUGUGAGGGAGAGAGGCUUCUGGCCUGAAUAUCUGCAUCCAGGCUGCCUCUCAACACUUUGGAGCAUAUUGUCUGGGGGAAAAAAAAUCAAAAUCCAGACCAAUAAAAGAAAAACAGUUGGAAAGAUUAUGACUUGUCAGUGUCCAAAGCCCAGGGAGGAGCAGAGCACACCAGCAAGCAGAACUCUGAUAGUCACUCAAGGAGGCAAAAUCUCUCAAGGAGAUAACCCUGUGGCUCACAGCUGGGCAUAUGAGAGCAAGAGAGAUUUCAGAAAGGAAUAUAUAAGAACUACAAGAUGUGCUGAUGGCCAUUUUUGGGCAGAUUUUCCUCUGUGUCUUUGCUAACGCAUGACAUCUACUUAUUGCCCAGACAUGAGUUUCUUUAAGCUGGGUCCGAGAGAAUGGG